rnacentral:misc_RNA from 1 species
UGCACACAUCCCCCAUACUGGACCCCAUCCAAGCAAUGCAACAGAAAUCGACAAGGGGAGCAAACGCAGCAAGAAAUUCUAAAAAAAUUGGAAAUUUCUGGUUGCGGAACAAGAAAGAGGGAAGCUUUGCAUUCUACAGGGAGAAUACUGACCUAGAGUGGCUAGGAUCUGGCGCCUCCCGGAACCGCGCGGCCGGCCCCGGCGGCGCCCGGAGCUCAGGCUGGCGUGCUCGCUCUGCCCGGCCGUUUGCGUGCCGUUGUCCACCACCACGGCCCCACUCGGCGUCUCGCCGCCCAAGCUCCAGGCAAGCGGAGUCGCGGCGGCGUCCCCGGCGUGGCCAGCCGCAGCCGCUGGCGGCGACGGCGUGGGGGACGUCGACGGCGAGGAUGGAGAGGACUGGUAGCCUUUCGCUGCUGCUUCUUGCGCCUCCGCCAUGGCGAUGUCUGCUGCUCUGAACAUGCUGCCGUGGCCGGAUUCGCGGCCAACUGCAAUACCCUCCCUUCCCUCCAUCUGCAUGCAAAGGGCUCUUCUUGGUUGAGUCCUGGGACUUGCUUACUCUGGGAAAAUUUCUUGCUCCCGGUGGUUCGGUUCUUUGCUUGCUUGGAGCCUUGGACUCGAACAGAGAACCGCAGACAAGAACAGACACCUAUUCUAGUUUGGGUCUGUGUCCGGUUACUACCAGGCACCAGCAAGCAGCAGCUGGGUCGUGCCAGUAUUAUACCCAAGUCAUCAGGGAUUGGAUUUUGAAUACGGGCAAAUGGCAGAGAUAAAUAAAAAUAAAUGAGAGAUUUUUAGCACGAG